rnacentral:lncRNA from 1 species
GGGAAUGGAGAGAGCAGUUGGCCAAUGGAGGAUAAAGAAAUAACGAAUAGAUGAUAGAAGAGAGAAAGUGGCCUAGGGUUCAUGCCACCAAUCAGAGCCAUCAAGCCUGACGUGCGAAACCCACCACUAGAGAGGUAAUCAAAGCAACCUUGUCGCAUGGCCUCUUUUGCUUCGUCCGUUGAAGCAAUUAGCACUUGCCAAAAUGAAUCCCCUAGUGUGUUUACUGUUGCUGACAUUGGCUUCACCAUUCAAUUUUAAAACGCUUAGAUUUUUUUACAUACUUUUUUUAAUGUUCAUCAUUUAAGAUGAGUAUGUGACAUAUGCUCACCUUGCGUAGAACAUAGAAGGACUUCAUAACUUCUGAGACUUUGUUUUCAUCACCGAGGUUGCCCAAAGGCUUGAGAAGACGGCUUAGAAUGAGAAUGUCAGACAAUAAAACCAUCAUCCCCGACGCGAUUACGGGAUGACGCAUGUUGAAUGCAUCUC